CCUCCUCCCAAACUACCCUAAUCUCUGUCGGCUCAUCCGCAAAAACUGUAGCCUGCAACCACCGCGUCUUCCAGCAGAUAUUAGAGUUUUAUAUAUAUAAAAUUUUCAUGACGAAAAGUGACAGUUACAAUUGGUGUAAUAACUUGAUUUGUUAAAGGGGGAGAAAAUUAUUCUCAAAAAAAGGAAAUAAAUCAAGAAAACAAGUCAAAGUUAAAAUGAGGGUGUUAUACAGUACCCUACUUUGCACCUCCUUCUUUCUCUGUCUUCAUCACCAUCCAUCAGUCGUCGUCGUCGUCGUCGUGCCUGAGCAGCUUCCUCUCAGAGUUUCCUUCUUUUGCUCUGAGUUGUCUUCAUCAUUUUCCUUUACCUCAAAACGAUCGCGUCAGAGCCAUUUGACUCGCCUGCCCUAAGCCUUUCCCCAAAAAAAGAGUAGAGAGAAACGAAGUAGACCCAAACGACAACGGUUCGGAAAGGCUUUUUGAAGGGGCUCUUCUGGGUUGGUUGGGUCGAAGA
rnacentral:lncRNA from 1 species